GGACGAACCUCUGGAGAGCUUAUCUAAGAGAUAACACCGAAGGAGCAAAGCUAAUUUUAGCCUAAACUCUCAGGUAAAAGGACGGAGUAAUUGUG
rfam:Fusobacterium nucleatum subsp. nucleatum ATCC 25586, complete genome.